rnacentral:tRNA from 1 species
GGGGGUAUAACUUAAUUGGUAGAGUGUAUGCUUUGCAAGCAUAAAGUUAUCGGUUCAAGUCCGAUUACUUCCA